UACGAAGGGGACUAGCGUUGUUCGGAAUUACUGGGCGUAAAGCGCACGUAGGCGGAUGUGUCAGUCAGGGGUGAAAUCCCGGGGCUCAACCUCGGAACUGCCUUUGAUACAGCACGUCUAGAAUCCGGUAGAGGUGGGUGGAAUUCCUAGUGUAGAGGUGAAAUUCGUAGAUAUUAGGAAGAACACCGGUGGCGAAGGCGGCCCACUGGACCGGUAUUGACGCUGAGGUGCGAAAGCGUGGGGAGCAAACAGG
rnacentral:rRNA from 1 species